rnacentral:rRNA from 1 species
AUUGAACGCUGGCGGCAGGCCUAACACAUGCAAGUCGAACGAGUGGCGGACGGGUGAGUAAUGUCUGGGAAACUGCCUGAUGGAGGGGAAUAACUACUGGAAACGGUAGCUAAUACCGCCUACCAUCGGAUGUGCCCAGAUGGGAUUAGCUAGUAGGUGGGGUAAAGGCUCACCUAGGCGACGAUCCCUAGCUGGUCUUAGAGGAUGACCAGCCACACGGGAACGGAGACACGGUCCAGAGUCCUACGGGAGGCAGCAGUGGGGAAUAUUGCACAGUGGGCGCAAGCCUGAUGCAGCCAGGCCGCGGGUAUGAAGAAGGCCUUCGGGUUGUAAAGUCCUUUCAGCGGGGAGGCGUUACCCGCAGAAGAAGCACCGGCUAACUCCGUGCCAGCAGCCGCGGUAAUUC